UCUGAUGUGGUCGGAUUUAACAACAAGGCUGUUUACAAAGCUGAUGACGCCAAGCAAGCCCCCUCGUCGGAAACCAUGAAUUAUCGAAAGAGCUUCAUUACCCUCCAGGUGUCUACACUGAUUUUACAAGAUAUGGCGAUGGUCUCGUUGUGAGUGCGGAUAAUUUCAUUGCGGCUAAACCAGACGUUCAAAAGCAAUCUGUAAAGCUUAUUUCCAAGUUCAUCGUGCAAUCGUCUGCAGAUCAAGAACAACACAAGGAAUGCAAAUGCGUUUUGAAGUAUGGACUUUUCCCAGAGACCGAGUGCCAUCCAACAUUUUUUAAAUGAAAAAAGAAUGUCUACAUUGUAAGUUGGUUCUGUCCAUGAAUUUUCUCCCCUCUUUCUUCACUUAUUCUCUGAAUUCCCUUUAUAUGACCAGGAAGGAAGCAUCAGAAACAAAUUAAUCUCUCUCAGUUUUUUUAGGAGUUUGUGUGUAUAGUAUUGAGGAGUGUAGGAGGUAAUGAUAUAUUGACGGCAUAAGUCCGCAAUCUUAUAUCUCAUAUGCGGUGUCUAAAAUCCGCUCUAUGUUAUUUUUUUAAAGGAGAACAAAUUGACAUCAUUCCUUGAAGGUUUUGCAGAAUUUUCUUCGCACAGAGAAGAAAAAUCACGGAAGUUUUGAAGAAUUGCCGUUGUGUAGUUUUCUGUUUAGAGUAUGACAGGAAGUCUGCAACGCCACAAACCGAGUUAUGUAAUUGCCGACUUACACCGUCGAUAUGUAUAUGGUUAAUGUUGCCGUAUUCAGACCUUUAUUUUGUGUUUUAAAUCUAUACCUAUAAAACUUCUUGAACCUCAAAAUUAAAAUCAUAGCACACAGAUUCCAUUUCAAAAUGUUCAAAAAAGAAAGCUAAGUUGGCACCUAAAUCCUAGCGAAGCCUUACAAUGACGAUCAGCUCAAAAUGCCUGCCAUCCUUUACUUUCUCAAUUGGCUACUAUCUGUCUGAAUCUUAAAAGAAACCUGUAAUGAACAGCUGGAUACCAUCUUCUCAGUAGCAGAAAACAAUUGAUAUCAGAAAAACAAGAUAUUUCCUAUGUUUUGUGAAUUUCAAACUUUUGAUUUUAAAUGGCAGUAGUUCAUAGUGCUUCACGACCUGUUUUUCCAUUUUUGUUCUCCUUGUUUGCUACCUCGGUUUUUUAUUUAAGUUGAACUUGUUUUUAUCGGGCUGUUUGUUCGAUGAAAUUACUUUUCCCAUCCUUUUUUAAUAAAAGCUAUCGUCUAAAAACGAUAAAAGGAUCGACAAGUAAUUUCAUCGAAAUCUCGGUUUUUAUUUGAUUUUCAGAUGUACCAGUAUUGUCAACUUCAGAUAAACCUCACGAUUCUUUAGUUUGUUUCGAACUUAAAUUUCUUUAUUUUGUUUACGGCUAAACUCAAAAAAACAAGGAUAUCAGCAGUCUAUCUCUAACUUGUCCCAUUGUUAAAUAAUUUUUU
rnacentral:lncRNA from 1 species